rnacentral:tRNA from 1 species
CGGGACGUAGUUCAGCUUGGUAGAACGCCUGGAUGGGGUCCAGGAAGUCGCAGGUUCAAAUCCUGUCGUCCCGA